UCUUCCAGUCCUCUGUCUGUCUGUCUGUCUGUCUGUCUGUCUGCAUGUCUGCAUGCAGGAUGGCCGGAGAGAGGAACCGUCGGUGGCUCUUUCAGCGGUUUCUCCUAACUUCACUCCCCGGUAGCAGAGACGACCAGAGCGGGUUAGUUCAUCUGGAAGCAGCCUGGCUGGUUAAACAUUAAGUCACAUGGAGGCCUUCUGGGCUCGGUGCCUGGAUGAUUUGCAUGAGAUGUUGAGAUGAAGAAAAGGAAUUUGCCUUGAAGAUGGCCUUUACUGGGUGAGCGUGGUGAGACUCAGCGGGAUGGAUGCUGCUGUCUGAAGAGCAGGACCUCGUGGAGUCUGAGAGCUGGUCAGAAUGACGAGACGAAGAUCUGCGGUCGCGGUGUUUCAGAUGGUCCUGAGAUCGAAGCUCGUAUUGACGAGGACCUCGCUGGGUUUGAGAGCUGGUUGAAUCAUGACUCAGAUGGGAAAGUAACUACAUGUUCCUGAUGAUGACUGGUGAUCUAUUUCAUGGUUGAUUCAUGACUCAACAGAUGGGAAAGUAACUACAUGAUCCUGGUGAUCUAGUUCAUGGUACAACACCAGAAAACUGCUGCCCUCAAGUGAUCCAAACAAACCUUGAAUGAAACUACAAUUUUGUUAAACAAAGAACAAAAUAAAAUGUUUGGAUAAUAUUGAAGCUAUUGCAUCAAACUGUAAACUUGUUUGUUGAAUAAAUAGUAACUCAGUUAA